UGAAGGCUUGGAUUGUAUUUAAGUUGGAUCCCUUCCAGUGAUGACAGCUGUGCUAACGUCACCUCUCUGGUGGCUUUGUCCCCAAGAUUCGAGAUUACGGUGAGCCCUUUCAGGAAGCAAUGUGGUUGGACCUGGUUAAGGAAAGGCUGAUUACGGAAAUGUACACGGUGGCAUGGUUCGUGCGAGACAUGCGCCUGAUCUUUCGCAACCAUAAAACAUUUUACAAGGCUUCUGACUUUGGCCAGGUAGGACUUGACUUAGAGGCAGAAUUU